AUAAAAAUAAGCUAAUUUACAAAAGCUUGUGAACUCAUACUUCAUAAAUAAAGUCUACUUUUUUUUAUA
rnacentral:tRNA from 1 species